rnacentral:pre_miRNA from 1 species
UGUAAGGGUUUUGACUUUUUUGCUUGCAACAUUUGAUCAUUCGUCUUAUUCAAAAAAUUAUGCUAAUAUUAAUUAUUUUGUUUAUGACUUACUUUAUUAUCAAAAGUACUUUAAGCAUAACUAAUACUUUUUUAAAUUUGCACUAAAUUUUUGAAUAAGAUGAAUGGUCAAAAGUUGCAAGCAAAAAAGUCAAAACCACCCUUACA